GGACAGAUGGCCGAGUGGUCUAAGGCGCUAGCUUCAGGUGCUAGUCUCGAAAGAGGCGAGGGUUCGAACCCCUCUCUGUUCA